rnacentral:rRNA from 1 species
GGAAGGAUCAUUAUUGAAUACGAAUCGGUUCUGAUGCUGGCCCUUCACCGGGCAUGUGCUCGCUCCGAAUCUAUUUAUCUUCUCUUGUGCACCUCUUGUAGUCUUUGAAACAAAAAGUGAACCUCUCGCAGCAAUGCGGUCUGGGGGACUUGAGCCUAACACGCUCUUCCCCUGCUUGCUUUCUUUUCUUGGCUAUGUUUUCAUAUACACUAUAAAGUUACAGAAUGUCUUUUAAGGAUUGUCGCUCGCGCGCAGUCAUUAAACCUAUACAACUUUCAGCAACGGAUCUCUUGGCUCUCCCAUCGAUGAAGAACGCAGCGAAAUGCGAUAAGUAAUGUGAAUGGCAGAAUUCAGUGAAUCAUCGAAUCUUUGAACGCACCUUGCGCCCUUUGGUAUUCCGAAGGGCAUGCCUGUUUGAGUGUCAUUAAAUUCUCAACCUUGCUCGCCUUUACCGGCUUGAGUGAGGCUUGGACGUGAGGGCUUGCUGGCUUCCUUAAGUGGAUGGUCUGCUCCCUUUAAAUGCAUUAGUGGGAUCUCUUGUGGACCGUCACUUGGUGUGAUAAUUAUCUACGCCUCGUU